UCGUUAUAGCCCUGAGGGCCCUGAGUAGCGCCGUGUAGAGCCUGAGUCAGAGCCCCAUCAGGGCCCCGGCUGUGGUGAGGCCACAAAUAAGGCCUGGGGGAGGGCUGGAGGAGGCACGUUGGGGUGAGACGCCCUCCCCUGAAAAAUAAGGAAAUCAAUGAAGAGAUUCAAAGGCUAAUGAGAAGAGGAUGGGAAAAGAAGCUGACAGAUGGAUGGACAGACAACAUGACUGUGAUGAAAAUGACAUUUCUUUGUAUGAUGCGUCAUCCCCACAGUACCAUCUUCUGCUUGAUGAAGUGUGUGAGCCAUAGCACUGCAAGCCUGAUUUGGAAAAAAGAGGGACACGCCACAUCUGGCUGCUGCUUAUCCACACGUGUCCUACGGCAACGCAACGCAGGAGAGGGCAGAUGGUUUGGGAAUCAUUGUGGAGCUGGGUUCAAGCCAAGGAAAUCACCUCACCCCUCUCUAUAUUGCAAAGAAGAGUUUAUGAACCUUCCCACAUUUCAGAGGGUUUUGCUAAGCAUGCUACUUGAACCCAGUUGGGGAUUUCGGCUGAUUGACCCAUGGAGCUGCUGAGAAAGGCCAGCCAAAAAUGAGAAAUAUUUUCAAGAGCUUUGCCAACAUUGCUGGGAGGAGAUGCCCUGCAAAAGCGUUCAGCUUUCUGAGACACAGGCUUCUAGGAUAUAAAUGUAGCACUUCUGGUACAGACAAUCUGGACAGAGAAGAGCUUGUUAUCUGCGUAAGUCAGUGCCCCGAAGGCCACAAUCCUCUGAAAGUGUCACCUCUGUCUCAUUUUGAGUAACCCCCAUUCCUGCGACCUGCCUGCAUCUGUCUAGGCCGGAUCAGGGUGUGCGAAAUUCUACAGCUGCUGAGGAAAAACUGGAGUUCUGGGUCUCUCAGUCCAAGUCUGUGGGCACACUGACGUAGGGGCAGCCGACAAAAUCAGAAGCAGUUUGAAUGAAAUCAUCUGAGAGGCUCAGCACAUCACAGAACUGGGAGAACUAAGAGUGCUGCUGUCAGAAUAUGGGGCUGUGAGGCAAUGACAGCUUUCUGAGUUCAUGUGGAAAGGGUGGCAGAAACUGAGCUUAUUUAAGAAGUGGUGCCAGAAAAAAAAAAAAAAAAAAAGACCAUGUCAUUUCAACCCUCUGGUCUUGUACUUAUAAACUGUGUCUUGCUUCCUUUCCGAAAGCUUCUAACUCUUUUAAAUGAAAUUAGUUGAAGUUUAUUACCCCCCUGAGGUUGAACUUCUCCAGACGUUGUUUCAUUUGUGUGUUUUACCCAUUCCGUGCUGUAAUGACUACUGUUUCCUGUCCUAUUAUUUCAGUCAAAUCAUGGCUACAUCAAGUUGGUUUAACACAGCGGUGAUUUACAUUUGAUGAGAAGACUGCUGCUGCAACUCACAGCUUGAGUGCUGCUAUUUCUACAGACCUCUGUUUCUGAUUCACUAUUCUCCUCCACUUCUUAUUCAGACAUUUAUGGAUUGGAUAAUGAGCAUAGUGGGUUGAUACUUAGCUGACUUUUCAGCAGAAUUAUAGCAGAUA